rnacentral:rRNA from 1 species
GAUGAACGCUAGCGAUAGGCUUAACACAUGCAAGUCGAGGGACCGGCGGAUGGGUGAGUAAUGCGUAUGCAACUUGCCUCUUAGUGGGGGAUAACCCGGAGAAAUCCGGACUAAUACCGCAUACUAAGAGAUAGGCAUGCGUUCCAUUAGUUAGUUGGUGAGGUAACGGCUCACCAAGGCAUCGACGGAUAGGUGAGCGGAGAGGCUGCUCCACCACGAUGGGACUGAGGCACGGCCCAAACUCCGACGGGAGGCAGCAGUGAGGAAUAUUGGUCAAUGGAGGAUACUCUAACCCAGCCAAGUCGCGUGAAGGAGGACGGUGUAUGGAAUGUAAACUGCUUUAGUAGGCGAGUAGGUAGCCUAAGAAUAAGUACCGGCUAACUCCGUGCCAGCAGCCGCGGUAAUUC